rnacentral:rRNA from 1 species
UACGGAGGGAGCUAGCGUUGUUCGGAAUUACUGGGCGAAAAGCGCGCGUAGGCGGCUUUGUAAGUUAGAGGUGAAAGCCCGGGGCUCAACUCCGGAACUGCCUUUAAGACUGCAUCGCUUGAAUCCGGGAGAGGUGAGUGGAAUUCCGAGUGUAGAGGUGAAAUUCGUAGAUAUUCGGAAGAACACCAGUGGCGAAGGCGGCUCACUGGACCGGUAUUGACGCUGAGGUGCGAAAGCGUGGGGAGCAAACAGG